UACGUAGGGUGCGAGCGUUAAUCGGAAUUACUGGGCGUAAAGCGUGCGCAGGCGGCUUUUUAAGCCAGAUGUGAAAUCCCCGGGCUUAACCUGGGAACUGCAUUUGGAACUGGAAGGCUAGAGUGCGGCAGAGGGGGGUAGAAUUCCACGUGUAGCAGUGAAAUGCGUAGAGAUGUGGAGGAAUACCGAUGGCGAAGGCAGCCCCCUGGGUUGACACUGACGCUCAUGCACGAAAGCGUGGGGAGCAAACAGG
rnacentral:rRNA from 1 species